AUGGCUCUGGGCUGGAGCAAGGCUUUCCUUAGAGAAGCCAGUCCCCUUCCCCUUGCCCCCGCACUGCUGUCCCCCUGGGCCACGCUGCCCCCACAGCCUCUGCCUGCUGUGUGGAGGCAACGAGGGGCGGCCUGCUGCUGGUGGAGGCCGGGGGAGCGGCUGCUCUGGCUAGGAGUGGGACAAUUAAUGUCCUCCGUCAGGGCGGCAAGUCUCCAGACUUUGAGAAACAUCCCGGGGUUGGGCCGUGCCUGCCUGUUCCUGCAGUGGCUGAAAUACAGCCUUAUCCUGAGGGAAAUGGCGGUGAGAGGCGGCUGCCGGCUGGGAAAGGGGGGAGGCCUUGUGGCUGCGGAGAGCAGGAGCUGCUGCCGGCUGCUGUGGUGCGAAACGAAGAAGCACUUGUGUCCCAACUUCUUCAGGAGCUUAAAAAGACCUUCCUCUUGCUUCAGAGAUAAGAUUUCAGUGUAUGAAGAUCCUACUGGUGAUGCAAUUUUUCUGAUAAAUUCCAUGAGAGAUAUUUGAUAACAGAUCUCUUGCUUUUCUUCACUUUUUUAUUUCCAGUAUGAAAUGACGGAAGUCCCCAAAAGCUCCAGCACUCCCUUGGGGGUGCAGUUAUCUGAGCUAAUACACAGAUGAUUUAGAUCGUAAUAAAGCAAUGAUGCAUAAUGAGUGCA
rnacentral:lncRNA from 1 species